UACGAAGGGGGCUAGCGUUGCUCGGAAUCACUGGGCGUAAAGGGUGCGUAGGCGGGGCUUUAAGUCAGGGGUGAAAUCCUGGAGCUCAACUCCAGAACUGCCUUUGAUACUGAGGAUCUUGAGUUCGGGAGAGGUGAGUGGAACUGCGAGUGUAGAGGUGAAAUUCGUAGAUAUUCGCAAGAACACCAGUGGCGAAGGCGGCUCACUGGCCCGAUACUGACGCUGAGGCGCGAAAGCUAGGGGAGCAAACGGG
rnacentral:rRNA from 1 species